rnacentral:tRNA from 1 species
GGGGCUGUAGCUCAUCGGCAGAGCGCGACUUUAGCAUAGUCGAGGUACGGGGUUCGACACCCUGCAGCUCCA